rnacentral:misc_RNA from 1 species
GAUUUAGCAGGCUUGCCGUGGGCUCACUAGAUCACCUUGCACAGGCUGCUCUGUCCUGACAGGGCCUUAAGCAAACCAGGCAUCACUUUAGGUAGGCUGAGCAUGUUCUUGGCAAGGCCUUCCUUGGCCUUAUAUGUCCAUUGAAGAACUUAAGUUUUUCUAUCUGAUUAUACAGGCUUUUAGAUGUAUCCUACUCCAAAAUUUGUUCUGCCUUCAUCUCCAGAACCUAAUAAUUAGGAUAAACAAUGAAGCUAUAGCCUACAGUGCCUGACCUGCUUGACUACAACUGUAAGCUUACCAUCAUUACAGUUUACAGAGAUCAAGGCUAUAACAUUUACAGAAACAACUUGUUAUUUGCAGCCGAAAGUUUUAGCCUGCUAAGGGCACCUGUACUAAAUUGUGAUCACCUUAUAUGACUGAAUAAUAAAAUCACACACACCCAAAAAGCAUUAUGAUCAAUAAACAAAUAUGUAAGCAACUAAAGGA